ACUUUUAUUGGAAAAACUCAUAUCCCUUUGGGGUGUGUAAAAACAGGAGGUGUGACAUUAUUGGCCUAAGCAAGUUUAUUUGAUGAUUGCCAAAGAAACUCAAACAUAAGCUAGGUCCAUAUACAAUAAAUACGGACAGAUUCAAGCACAAGGCAAACGCGCGAGGGAGUUUGGAUUUGCGUCUAAAUUCCCUCGGAUUCAAAUGCUCACUUAUGCAGUUUCCUUGUACUAAUUUGGGCAUGCUUUAACUGCUUGGAAGAUUGUGACCAUGUCUAUUUCUUUCUAGUUUCAUACUUUUUUUGGCCAAUUCGCUGCAGCAUAAGUGCAUACCAGCGAUGCAUGAUCACACUGAAAUAUGGCAAGAAAGGAGUAAAUUAGCAGAAAGCAUAGUGCAACAAUUCUAUAAGAAUCUUCGUCUAUCCAAUAAACUGUUAACAUAAAAAUAAAGUUGCCAAGUUCCAUAAGGUAGUUAAGUUUCAAAUAGUAUACAGUGUGAAACCAUAGAAUAUAAUAAAUGCUGAUUACUAAGUAUUGAUCGAUUAGGUAGCAGACAAAAACGACAAUAAAAGAUUAAGAUGUGCUAAGAAUUAUGAAAAAGGAGAAAUGAGGAUCCUUUGCUUUGUGAAGAAAAUUUUCAAGGUGGUGCUUUCGGUGAGCCGUGCCGCAAAAAGAAUGGGACGAUACUUGUUAAUUACUCCUUCCUUGCCCUCUUUCUUUCCCUACAGUACAUAUAUAUUUUGCCCUCUUACAAGCUGCCAUGAAAAUGAAACUCUGGUUCCAGUCUUUUUCAAAAUUUUAACCGUCCAAAAGUUGCUUUUGUCGCUGGUUACGACUUUGCUUACCUUACCUACAAUAAAGAAGUUUGGAAUUUAUCCAAGAGUAUUUAAAUUUGAAAGAAGUAAAAAAUAUUUUAACAAAGGGUAUUCAAUAUAAGUUAUAUACAUUUAAAAUAUACUUCUUUCGUUCUAUUAUAUAUGAACUUGUUUGACUGGAUAUGGAGUUUAAGAAAAAAUAAUUUUUUUAAAAAUUUAUGUUUAUAAAAAAGUCAAAAAGAUCCAGAAUUUGUAUAAUUAUUAAUAUUUCUCAUUAAAAAUAGAGUUGGGAGUUUAAGAUAAAUUAUUUUUGAAUUUAAAAAUAAAUUAUUUUUUUAGAACUAGCAAAAAAGAAAAUAUAUUCAAGUCAUUGUAAAACAUAUGAAGUAAACUUUUACUUAUAAUAUAUAAUGUAAUUUUUCAAAAAAGAUAAUGAACUCACCCUCCUUAUAACCACGUGGCUUACAUAUAUCCUAUAUCAUCUCUUAGAUUCACGUCCUGCCAAAUUCUAUACAUUCGUGGAACUGUACACUAACUGAAAUUCUAGUCAUUGUACUGUUCAUCAACAGUUCAUCUUUUGCUGGUUAUUGUCCAAACACCCAAUUUUGAAUUAAAUCUAAAGGACACUUAUAGUGUAAACUAAGGGUGAAUCAGAUGGGUUUGAAUAGGAAAAAUUUUGAAUCGUAUUGGGUUAGAACCGGGCCAAUUAUGGAGUAGGAAUUAUCGGGCUUAAGAGAUUAAACUUCAUUCACGUAAAAAAAUAAAUCGUAAGGAUUACGGGUACAAGAGGGCGGCCGAGCUGGGUUAGUAAUUUCUUUUUUGAUGUAGGAAAACAAUUUAAAGGUAGAAGACUUUUAAAUGUAAGAAGGAAAGAGAUUUUGUUUA
rnacentral:lncRNA from 1 species